CCUACGGGUGGCAGCAGUGAGGAAUAUUGGUCAAUGGGCGGGAGCCUGAACCAGCCAAGUCGCGUGAGGGAAGACGGUCCUAUGGAUUGUAAACCUCUUUAGGCGGGGAGCCAUGCCGGGCACGCGUGCCCGGAGGGAGAGUACCCGCAGUAUAAGCAUCGGCUAACCCCGCCCCAGCAGCCGCGGUAAUACGGAGUAUACGAGCUUUAUCCGGAUUUUUUGGGUUUAAAGGGUGCGUAGGCGGAUUUUUAAGUCAGCGGUAAAAUGUCCGGGCUCAACCCGGGCCGGCCGUUGAUACUGGGGAUCUUGAGUGGGCGAGAAGUAUGCGGAAUGCGUGGUGUAGCGGUGAAAUGCAUAGAUAUCACGCAGAACUCCGAUUGCGAAGGCAGCUUACCAAUCUAUAUCUGACGUUGAGGCACGAAAGCGUGGGGAGCAAACAGGAUUAGAUACCCUGGUAGUC
rnacentral:rRNA from 1 species